AAGGAGCAUUCUCCAAUCCAAUGUCCACACAGGUGGAUGGUUGGUUGGCAGAGCCUGUUUCGGACCCACUUGUGGUCCGGCGGGAGCUCAUGGGUGGACGCUGACAAGCAUUCGUUUUCAUUACUGCCGGCCUCAGUGCUGGUGGGAGAACAAAUUAUAUCGACAUACUGUUGGGUCCUGAGAGAACACGUGAGUGUUUCCUCUCUAGGAAGUAACGACAACGCUGGAAUGUGGGUCAUACCGCGGAGUUGCGAUGGUUUCGAUCAUUGUUUUCUUCGGCUGGUGCUCACGGGAGUUCUGGGGUUGUGUGUUGUUUGAGAACUGCACAGUGGACGCGAGCAUCUUUGUU
rnacentral:misc_RNA from 1 species